ACUGAACGCUGGCGGAAUGCUUUACACAUGCAAGUCGAACGGCAGCACGGACUUCGGUCUGGUGGCGAGUGGCGAACGGGUGAGUAACGUAUCGGAACGUGCCCAGUCGUGGGGGAUAACGUAGUGAAAAUUACGCUAAUACCGCAUACGAUCUAUGGAUGAAAGCGGGGGAUCGCAAGACCUCGCGCGAUUGGAGCGGCCGAUAUCAGAUUAGGUAGUUGGUGGGGUAAAGGCCCACCAAGCCAACGAUCUGUAGCUGGUCUGAGAGGACGACCAGCCACACUGGAACUGAGACACGGUCCAGACUCCUACGGGAGGCAGCAGUGGGGAAUUUUGGACAAUGGGCGAAGGCCUGAUCCAGCCAUUCCGCGUGCAGGAUGAAGGCCCUCGGGUUGUAAACUGCUUUUGUACAGAACGAAAAGGUUUCUACUAAUACUAGGAGCUCAUGACGGUACUGUAAGAAUAAGCACCGGCUAACUACGUGCCAGCCGCCGCGGUAA
rnacentral:rRNA from 1 species